rnacentral:rRNA from 1 species
AUGGAACAAGAUUUUCACUCCUUCACUAAAAAUAUUUGGAGCAAUGCUUCUCAUACUUCUUUUGCAGCAAAAUCUUCCUAUCUUGCAGGAUCACUCCAAGCUUGGUGUAAAAAGAAAAAACCUCUACAAAAUGAACUUGCACUCUUGGAGGCAAAAAUCAAUGAACUUCAACAACUUCCUCUUCAGUACCAAAAUCAAGAUCUACAGUCUUCUCUCACGGCAAGGUAUGAAUUGACGCUUACUAAAAUCAAUCAGUACUACAAGCAAAGGAGUAAAAAGAAUUGGGUAGCAAAAGGGGAUCGUAAUGCUAAAAAUUUUCAUCAAGCUGUCAUUAAACGUAGGAAAAGAAAUACUAUUUGUUCCAUUAAAGAUGAGCAUGAUCUUGUUCACUGCAAUCCUACUGCCAUUAUGCAAACUUUUGUGAACUACUUCAAAUAUAUGACUAGACCAUUUCCUCAUUUUCAGGGUUACAAUGAUAACUAUGAUCCUACUUAUUCUAUUCCUGAUAAUGCUGAAAUUUUGCAGAUUCUUAAGGAUAUGAAGCUUAAUGCCUCUCCUGGUCCCGAUGGUUUCAAUGUUGAAUUCUAUUUAGCUACUUGGGAUUGGAUAGGGGAAGAAGUCACUAAGCUUGUUACUAAUUUUUAUCAGACGGCUACCCUUCCUUCUCAUAUUAAUAACACCAACAUUGCUCUCAUUCCUAAGAAAUUGGUGCCUCUUGUUCCUACUGAUUAUAGACCU